rnacentral:pre_miRNA from 9 species
UCUCGAUAGCGUAAAAGUUAACUCGAAUUUGUAUGGAUUUGACGCGUUUGCCUACAUUUGUCGCUAGGGGCGCUGUUCCAACUGCAUACAAAUUUGAGUUAACUUUUACGCGAUCGA